rnacentral:tRNA from 1 species
GCCCGGGUGGCGCAACUGGCAGACGCAGCUCGCUUAAAACGGGCAAAGUGUGGGUUCGACUCCCACCCCGGGCA